rnacentral:rRNA from 1 species
AAGCGCUUAUGACCAGACUUGUGCCGGGCGGAUCAUCCUGUGUUCUCACUGGUGCACUCCGUCCGGUUCAGGCCAGCAUCGGUUCUGGGGGGGGCAUAAAGGCCGCAGGAACGUAGCUCUUCGGAGUGUUAUAGCCCUCGGUGCAAUGCCGCCUACCUGGACCGAGGACCGCGCUUCGGCUAGGAUGCUGGCGUAAUGGU